rnacentral:rRNA from 1 species
ACUCAAAUGAAUAGACGGGGGCCCGCACAAGCGGUGGAGCAUGUGGUUUAAUUCGAUGCAACGCGAAGAACCUUACCUGGGUUAGACAACGUAUGACAGGGGUAGAGAUAUCCUUUUCCCUUCGGGGACAUACGGUUCAGGUGCUGCAUGGCUGUCGUCAGCUCGUAUCGUGAGAUGUCGGGUUAAGUCCCUUAACGAGCGCAACCCUUAUCUUUAGUUGCCAUCAUUCAGUUGGGCACUCUAGAGAGACCGCCGGCGUUAAGCCGGAGGAAGGCGGGGAUGACGUCAAGUCCUCAUGGCCCUUAUGUCCAGGGCUACACACGUGCUACAAUGGCCGGUACAAAGAGUCGCCAACCAGUAAUGGGGAGCUAAUCUCAGAAAACCGGUCUCAGUUCGGAUUGAAGUCUGCAACUCGACUUCAUGAAGCUGGAAUCGCUAGUAAUCGCAGAUCAGCACGCUGCGGUGAAUACGUUCCCGGGCCUUGUACACACCGCCCGU